rnacentral:lncRNA from 1 species
GACAGAGUGAGACUCUGACUCAAAAAAGAAAAACACUCUUUAUACUCACUCAUUUAGUUGCCGUUUCUGGUGUUCCUCAUUUCUUUGUGUAGAUUCAGUUUUCCAUUGGGUAUGACCUUCCUUCUGCUUGAGGGACAGCUUAGACACUCCUGCAGCAUCUUGAACAUAUGGAACAUGGUCACAGCAUAAGCAUGUGUGUGCUGUCCUCUACUUGCCCUGUCACCUCCAGCAUCUUGAACAUAUGGAACAUGGUCACAGCAUAAGCAUGUGUGUGCUGUCCUCUACUUGCCCUGUCACCUCCAGCAUCUUGAACAUAUGGAACAUGGUCACAGCAUAAGCAUGUGUGUGCUGUCCUCUACUUGCCCUGUCACCUCCAGCAUCUUGAACAUAUGGAACAUGGUCACAGCAUAAGCAUGUGUGUGCUCUCCUCUACUUGCCCUGUCACCUUUGUCAUUUCCAGGUCAGUUACUACAACCUCCACCUCCCGGAUUCAAGUGAUUCUCCUGCCUCAGCCUUCUGAGUAACUGGGGCUACAGGUUGCCUGCCACCACGCCUGGCUAGUUUUUUUAUUUUUAGUAGAGAUGGGGUUUCACCAUGUUGUCCAGGCUGGUUGUGAACUUCUGGUCUGAAGUGAUUCGCCCUCCUCGGCCUCCCAGAGUGCUGGGAUUACAGGCGUGAGCCACUGUGCCCGGCCCCAGGUCAAUUUUGAUUGAUUUUUCCCAUCUCUCCAUAUGGGUCAUAAUGUCCUGCCUCUUUUCAUGCCUGUUUUUUUGUUUUUUGUUUUUCCCGGAUAUUCAAUAUUUUGUAUUCUACCUUGUUUGGUGCUGGAUAUUUUUGUAAACCUAUACAUAUCUUUGCAUUUGUUUCUCGAAUGUGAUCAAGUUACUUGGAAACUGUGUGGUCCUUUUUUUUCAGGCAGGGUCUCACUGUGUCGCACGGGCUGGAGUGUAGUGGUGUGAUCUUGGCUCUCUGCAGUCUCGGCCCCCUGGGCUCAAGUGAUUCUCCCACCUCAGCCUCCCCAAUAGCUGGGGCCACAGGCACGCAUCACCACAUUGGCGACUUUUUGGAUUUUUGUAGAGAUGGGGUUUCACCGUGUUGCUCAGGCUAGUCUCGACCUCCUGGGCUCAACUGGUCUGCCUGCCUUGGCUUCCCAAAGUUCUGGGAUUACAGGUGUGAGCCCCCACAUCUGGCUCUGGGUCUUCUUAUUCAGUGGUGUUUGGUGGGACCUGAACUGUAUUUAGUCUCGUGUUGAUGCUUCCCUACUACGGGGUGAGAACUUCUUCCUGCUCUAACGAUGCUUCCCCACUCUGGCUGCUGAGCACAGGCACUAUUCCCAGCCCUGCAUGGGCUCUGAUCCUGGGUGGGUCUUUCCCUGGCCUUGAGUGUUUUCUUCACGCUCCUGCACUGAUCUGUGCUUAGCUGAAGCCUCCAGGCAGACCCUCUGUGGGUGUCUGGGCUUCUCGGUGCAGCCCCCUCCUCUCCAGCACUCUGGAGCACCUGUGAACUCCAGCCCCUGCCUGGCCACCUCUGUCUUCCCAGUUGAGGGAGACGCCGGUGGCUGCCUGGGUUUUCUCUGCACCGGCCUGGGCAGUGGGCGGGACUGUCCUCGCUGCCGGGUCGCUUCCCCUCUCUCCAGCACCACGGUCCUCGGUUUCGUGAGCCCAGUGCCUUACGUGCUGUUUUCACACCUAUUUUUUUGGUUGCUG